rnacentral:rRNA from 1 species
CCUACGGGAGGCAGCAGUGAGGAAUAUUGGUCAAUGGGCGCGAGCCUGAACCAGCCAAGCCGCGUGAAGGAUGACUGCCCUACGGGUUGUAAACUUCUUUUAUAAGGGAAUAAAGUGAUGCACGUGUGCCUUUCUGUAUGUACUUUAUGAAUAAGAAUCGGCUAACUCCGUGCCAGCAGCCGCGGUAAUACGGAGGGUCCGAGCGUUAUCCGGAUUUAUUGGGUUUAAAGGGAGCGUAGAUGGGUGGUUAAGUCAGUUGUGAAAGUGUGCGGCUCAACCGUAGAAUUGCAAUUGAUACUGGCAGUCUUGAGUGCAGUUGAGGUAGGCGGAAUUCGUGGUGUAGCGGUGAAAUGCUUAGAGAUCACGAAGAACUCCGAUUGCGAAGGCAGCUUACUAAACUGCCACUGACAUUGAUGCUCGAAAGUGUGGGUAUCAAACAGGAUUAGAUACCCUUGUAGUC